UUGUUAUUUAUUUCUCUUCGUCACAAUGGGUCAAGCCCUGAUGAUGGUGGAAUAAACCGCCAAAAGCUCGGCACAGGCCAAAAAAGUUUUGGUUUUUUCUUUCAUAUGACCUCUAAAGGAUGAAGGCGAUCUCAAAUUUCCUUAAGACCUACUCAAUUGGUCGAUACUUCUAAAUGGACUGCGGUGGCCGAGUGGUUCGACCAGUAUUUGCCAGCACUCUAGCUGUCUUGGGUUCGAAUCCCGGCAUAGCCCGUCAAGCAGCCAUGGAUGUAUA